GCGGCAAUACGUAUGAGACGAGUGUUAUUCAUCUUUAAUAGGUUUAAAGGGUACUUAGACGGUUUAAUUAGCCAAAGCGGUACAAUUAAUCUAGAGUUUUAUAUAAGAAGGUAGUACUCUUGAGUGUAGUGAUGAAAUACUUUGAUACCUUGGGGACUGGUAAAGGCGAAGGCAACCUUUUAUCUUAAAACUGACGUCAAAGGACGAAGGCUUAGAGCACUAACGGGAUUUGGUACCCCAGUAGUCUUUGCAGAAAAUUCUGAAUGUCAUAGGUUAGGUAAUAGAUAUCCAGGCUAGAGGGUGGAUGUUUAAUAUCUUCCACUUUAAGUACAGGUUGAUAACAGUAUAAUACUAUGGUCGGGCGCCAUGCAUCUUCAUCAGAAGAUGCAUGGCGCCCGGUAUGUGUUAACUAUGUAUUAAUUGUAUAUAGUACAUAUGUACUAAGUAUGGUUGCUACCCUGGAUAGCCUUGUGCAUAAGAUGAAAGUGUAAGCCAUGCUCUUCGAAGAGAUGAUCCGCCAGU
rnacentral:rRNA from 1 species